AAGCACCAGAGCUGUCCCCUGCCAAAUCUCUCUGAGGACAAAGCUGAGCCACUGAGGCAACACUGCUGAGGGUACCGAGAGAAAUACAGGACUGAAAACAAAGACAUCCAAACCUUGAGCCAUUUAGAAGAGGAAGAAGCCAAAAUCUGUGCCAGAGGUUUGACUGCUGGGUUUACUCAUGGCUUCAGGUUGGUUUCACGGGUUUGGUCUGUUGGGAGGAUUUUCUGAGAAGCACCUGAAUAGCUCAUAGCUGGAUGGCUUCAGUUCUGACCCCCCAACCCCAGCCAGGUUUGCCACUCACUGUAUUCCUCCUGGAAUGACACAGGGGCUCUGGCUGGAGUCAGGCCAGGACAUUAAAUGAAACUGCUUUUGUGGCACUCCUGCAUUUGAUACAUAGAGGACAGAUUUCUCGCUGUACCUCUCUCUCCACAGCAUUUGACUCUGUUGACCAUGAAACUCUUCAUGUCCCUGCUGAGGAGGGGAUUUGCGGUCUGGUGGUAAUGGUUCUGUGGAACAUACCCAGUUACUAGAGAUGAAAACAUAUGCCUGGAUGUGGUGCUGUCCCACUAAGCCCUGUGCGUUCCCCCUUUUUUGCUGACCCAAUUGAACACCAAGUCAUUGAGGUCUGGGAGACAUUGCUGCAGCCCAGCAGCUUCAAUAGUCCAUGCUGGUUGUGCUAUUCCUUUCUCUCAUGUUUUAAGAUAAUAUAUAGUCAAGUUCAAAGUCUCAGUCCUUGAGAGCCUUAGUAGUCUGGAUCAAAGUAUCUAAAAAAGUAACCUUAUUAGCACCAUCUGAUUUAUAUGAGAGUCUUGCCAUUUUCCAUUGCAGCAAAAGGAAAGAAGCGUCCCUCUGAUACUUUCCUCCCGUAGUUUCAAGCAUUGCUCAGUGUCUCUCUGAAAUGUGGGAAAAAAUAAUCUUACCUGAGACGACUAGCACUUCUCUUACUGAGAUUACCAGCAUGUACAGACUCCCUUGCACUUCACAUGAACAGGGAAUGUUCCCUGCCUCUGGAACGUGUGUCCCUCCAGACGAGCACAGGGCAACACUGUGUUUCACCAUCAGAAUGGGGACAGGCUCCUCAGAGCGAUGCCAGGAGCGCCUGGUUAUCUCUGCAGCCUGUGAUGUCUCUCCCUCAGUCUUUCCAUGCACACACAUUCCCCACAUGCAUAACGCUUAUCUUUAACUUUCUGUGCGCCCAAACCAUACAAUUUCUAAAGAGGGUUAAAAAUAUCAAAUUAAUUCAGAAGACAGAGGUGAAAAGAAUCAUUCUGAGAUAUUCACGGGGUUGGUAGUAGUAACAAGGGAAACAGUUUCUGUCUUUUUUUGAUACUGAAGUUAAUUGCAGGCAUCUAGGGUUUAAAGACCUUGUAUUAUUGAUGGGGGUGUGUUAACAAAAGGAGGGACUCAAAUUAAACUGAAAUGUAGCAUGUACAGUAGGUUGUCAAGAGAAAAAAAAUAAGAACAAAGGACACUGCUAUUAUCUUUUAUUAUUAUUUUUUAAUUCCCCCCCCAUUUUCCUUCUGCAUGCUCUCUCUCUGUCAGCCUUCUCUCUUUCAAU